rnacentral:misc_RNA from 1 species
GAUGAAGAACGUAGCGAAAUGCGAUAAGUAGUGUGAAUUGCAGAAUUCAGUGAAUCAUCGAAUCUUUGAACGCACAUUGCGCCCCUUGGUAUUCCAUGGGGCAUGCCUGUUCGAGCGUCAUUUGUACCCUCAAGCUUUGCUUGGUGUUGGGUGUUUGUCCCGCGUUGCGCGUGGACUCGCCUUAAAGCGAUUGGGAGCCGGCAUAUUGGCCUUGGAGCGCAGCACAUUUUGCGCUUCUAGUCAUGAAUGUUGGCGUCCAUUAAGCCUAUACAUUUGCUCUUGACCUCGGAUCAGGUAGGGAUACCCGCUGAACUUAAGCAUAUCAAUAAGCGGAGGA